rnacentral:lncRNA from 1 species
CGAGGGCGGAUGAACCCAAUAUCCUAUUCGAGGGCGGAUGAACCCAAAUAUCCUAUUCGAGGGCGGAUGAUCCCAUUUUCAAAAUCUUGGAAUUGUCUUACCUCCGACUGUUUUUCUUCGAAUCGUGUUGUCUUGCUAUCUCUUAAAACUUGAAUUGAUUUCCUCGUUCCUCAGAGAAAUUUUUUGACAUUGGCAGAAAAUCUUCUGCCCCAGUUUUGGUGCUUUUCCUUGUUCUCCAGGUGGACGCCUGACUUCUGAUAUUUCAACUAUUCUUCCUUGUUCUCCAGGUGGAUGCCUGAUUACUAAUACUUCAACUGUUCUUCCUUGUUCUCCAGGUGGACGCCUGACUGCUAAUACUUCCAUUUCUCUUCCUUGUUCUCCAGGUGGAUGCCUGAUUGCUGUUUCUUUCAUUGCUCUUCCUUGUUCUCUAGGUGGACGUCUGAUUGCUAAUACUUCCAUUACUCAUC